CGGAGUAAGCGGGCCUUGAUCCCACAAAAAUUAGUUAACAGCUAACUACCCUAGCCA
rnacentral:tRNA from 1 species